GUUUAAAAGCACUAUUUGACCCACCGAUACCUCCUACUCUCGUUUUAUGAAUCGUACACCAUCACUGCAAAUAGCGACUGAAUCGCCAUGUUUGAUUUGUCCGUGAUUCCUAGCGAUAGCGAAGCGCGACGUGUGCUAACGUUUCAGGAGGAGUAGGGAGUUUGUUCCAAAAGGUGGGGCAAAUGUAUUUGUUCCCACUGAACCCCCCGCCAUUUUCGCUUAUCCUUCAAACACUGCUCCCUGAGAGACUAUGGCGACUCUUCACUUCCAUACACUGCACCCCUACACUCUUUAUUUAAUGUUUAUUGUCUAGAGUGAACGAUAAAUGUACACGGCAAGUAUACUUUAUCAUCAUAGUAUUUCAGAAAAAUUGGGUAUUUCAACCAUGUUGUAUGUUUCAAGAAUGUACUUAAGAGUCACAGAGAAGCUAAAUCAACUGACUAUCAAGAUAAAUCAUUUUGUUCCUGAAAAUGUAAGCAUUAAUAGUAAGUACUAAAAUGAAGUAAUAUAUCGAAAAUAGAGUUGAUCGAUUUAACUUCUGAGUGAUUCAUAUUAGAUUGUACAAAUAAAAUUUAUUAUAAUUAACAAUUCAAGUUUUAAGUAGGUGACUAUAUUGUAGGAAAAAUGUAAAAAGUAUCGUACUUUCUAAUAAAUUGGAAGUCUUUUCAAGUCGAUUCCUCGCGAUUUCGUUGUUUGUGGCUCGAAGUUCAACACUCACGUUAUUCAAUAUGUUCCCUGUAUAUCUAUGAUUCUGUAACUUCGCUAAACAAGAACCUUUAAUUUUUAGUCAGCACUCGAUCGAGUGAGGUGAAAUGGGCUUAUAAGUCGUAAAUAGAAAGUGAGAUGUAUAUAUAUGUAUAGUAUGAUUGUAAGAGUAUAUGUAUGUGUGUAUGUAUACAUAUAUGUAUAUGCAUGUAAGUACAUGCUGUUUUCUAUGCUACGACUGAAAUGAUAGCAGUUUUAUAUCUUUUUAAUGCAACGUAAUUUCGCUGUUUAUUACCGACGACGCUUGAUCUCAAGAAAUAUCCGGAACAUGACGUAUAUAUUUUUAACAUAAGCCCCUGACACAUCAAAAAUAAGUUUUUUAUAUAUCAUCGGAAUUGUCCAAUUAUUUCUUUGAUUUUGUAACAUACAUAAGAUGAUAAAAUAAAUCACCUCUAUUUAUAAAUUACAAUUUUUACGAGCGAUAAUUUUCUUCUCGAUUAUCUGCAAUUAAAGUAGAAAUUUAAUCGAAAUAGCGUGAAAGUUUAUAAUUCAUAAAAGAAUGACUUGGAUAGCAGGUAACGAGGAGGUAAAACGACGUAGCUAAAUUAUUUGCUAAACCGAAGUUAUACAUAUUGUGUUUGGUGCGGUACAGAUAUGUCGACCUACUUUACACAUAGUUACAUAUAAUUGUCUUAUGGCUUAUUAUACACAUUAAAUUCUAUACUUACUAUUGAAUUGAUAGCUAGAUACAGAUUUUUUUUCGCACAUAUCGUAUCUUUCGAUUUAAUAAUAUCAAAAUAUCGUCGAUGUUUUGUUCACAUCAUAAGUAGUUUUCAUAUUUCAAAGUAAAUCUUAUCGAGCCAUUAUAUGAUCUCUCCCUAGUUAAAAGUUGCAUGUUUCUCAACGUGUAAGUACAAUAUUCAGUAAGUAACAUUCCUGCAGGUUAUACGGUACAAUUGACAAUGGUGGAACAUCGGGCAGCAAGUAUCAAACAUAGAAAUAUAUUUAGCAAUGUUAAUUUGAUGAGAUAUCCUCUCCAACCAAGCGACAUUUUGCUAAUCGCAUACUUGUCGUAGAUACAGACCUGACAAACGAACUUUAACUUUAACUUUAACUUUAUCGACUUUAACUGUUUACACAUUUGAUGUUAUGUGAUUCGAAAUAAUGAACCUUUAUAAUUUGACAACAUGAAAAAUAACAUAGAAUGUUCAUAAACGGCUCGCCUGUUUGUUCUUUCACAUUUAGUAAAAAUAUAAGUGUCCAGAAUCUCAGAAAUGAAAUCUGUAACUGGACUGGGUACGUGUAUAUAAAUUUAUAUUUUCAUGAAUACAGCUACAGAAAUAGAAUUUUUGUACAAAUAGGGAUUUGUGUUUCACUUUUGUAUGUAUUCUAUAUGUUUCUGCACAUUUAAAUUCCCCAUAUCAUAAUCAUAGUUUUAAUCAUAGCUAAUAUACUCGUAUUACGUAAGUAAGAAAUAUAUUAAUAAAUUUUCAUGUUUUAACGAAUAAAGAUACAUUAUUUAUGUAUUUUUUGUGCUAUUAUUGAUCUUGACCGUAUAUUUACUUACAUUCAAUCUGUUUUAUCGUUCUAAGGACACUUCCGAAAUAAAUUCUUCUUUAUCAUUCGACUUAACGUUAAUUAAAUUUACAUACACGAUUAAGACAAUUUUCUCAAUCAAAAAUAAGUAUGAGGAACAAAACGAGAUAAUCACGAUCGGAAUAAAGAUAACAUUAUACUGUGAGUCAUCAGUAGUUGCGCGUAAUUGAUGAUUUAUGGAAAUUAAAAAUAUUUUAAUAUUGUUAAUGCCCAACUUUCCGACAAUUUACACUACGAUUUUACUUAUUACAUGUUUUAACACGUAACAAUGUAAUAUGAUGUGUUUUUCGAUGCAUUACUAUAGCGUAUAUGUGAACCGUUCAGAACUCGUAUACUAAUCACUUCCAUAAAUUAAACAAUAGAACAAUGUAGUGAUACUAUAAACAUUAUUUAUUUUUAAUUUGCUCAGGAAUUUACGAUUAUUUAUUUUAUAUUCUUAGAGUGGAGAUAUAAAUAUAUAUUAUUGAACUUAUACUUUAUGAAAUUAAACACCAAUAAAAUUAAAAAAUGUAUAAAAAGUGGAGGUGAAGUUUGGCUUUUGAGAAGCUUAUAUGAGAGAGUGCAUGCAAUACAAUGGAAUGCACAUACAUAUCACAAUUCAAGAAGGAAAUAUGGAAUAACAUACGUGACUAGCGCAACUAUAAAUACGUCCUCUAUGCAGGAGACUCCUGUGCCACCUUGUUGAGAAUUUUCUUCUUCAGAUACUCUUUAUGCUCAAAUUACUAUUUGUAAAUAUUGUGCGCUUGAAUUGGUCAUGUGAUGGAUAAAAAUACCAAAUAUCCAUAUAUGUCCAUUAUAAUAUAGAUAUUAUGUUACAUCAUCGACAGACUGUCGCUGUUAGGUACAUAUAGAUUGAGUAACUGUUAAGAUUUAGUUUAGGUUUAUUAGUAAAUAAAAGAAAGAAACUAUAAAUUAAUAAA